UUGAUCAAGCUACAAAGAGCGCAUCAUGGAUGCCUUGGUGCCAAUAGGCGAUGAAGGACGUGGUAAGCUGCGAUAAGCUACGGACAGCGGCAAACACGCUUUGACCCGUAGAUUUCCGAAUGGGGUAACCUGAGCGAGGUAACACUUGCUCGAGUUCCUGUGAAUUCAUAGCAGGAACAUCGCGACACCCGGUGAAGUGAAACAUCUCAGUAACCGGAGGAAAAGAAAUCGAAAGAGAUUCCGUCAGUAGUGGCGAGCGAA
rnacentral:rRNA from 1 species